ACUGAAGGAAGAAAUGCAUUCCUGUUGAAACUGCUCAUUCGUUCUGAACUGCUGAUGCUCCCUUGAGGAUUUAUGGGUUCAACACUGCUGAACUGAGGAUUAGAAGUUUAACUCAAGGGCUGAUCUAUUUAGCCACCAUCCUGGAAAGAAAAGCCCAGCCUACCACGGAGGACCGCACAUCACUGUGGGAAUGCACACGAAGGCAAGAUGGACUUCUGCUCGCUGUGGUGAUGCUACAGUACCACAGGUGACGCUGUUAAUUACUC
rnacentral:lncRNA from 1 species